rnacentral:tRNA from 1 species
GUCCGCGUAGCUCAGCAGGAUAGAGCACAGGAUUCCUAUUGAAUUGGGCGCCGUGAGGGGAAACCGCACGGUGGAACUGCUCAAAUUCGGGGAACGCUUGACCCUCUGCCGGUCAUGCCAAUCCCGAGCCAAGUCCGGAUAUACCGGAAAGGUGUAGAGACUGGACGGGCAGCGCCUGUUGGCCCUUGAUCGGGUCUAUGGCGAAGGGACAGUCCAGACCACGAACGUAGCGCCGGAUGGCCUGCGGCGGCGAAAGUCGAAGUGGUACGAAUCCUGGGGCCGUGGGUUCGAAUCCCGCCGCGGACACCA